AAAGUUUCAAAAGUCGAACAGACUUAAUAACUAAGCUACUGCGCCCAGCAUUAACUUUAAUCCAACAUCGAGGUCGCAAACUUCCCCUUUGAUUAGAACUCUAAAGAGAAAUUACG
rnacentral:rRNA from 1 species